rnacentral:rRNA from 1 species
AGAAAUCUCACCAGGCCCGGACACUGGAAGGAUUGACAGAUUGAUAGCUCGUCCUUGAUUCGGUGGGUGGUGGUGCAUGGCCGUUCUUAGUUGGUGGAGCGAUCUGUCUGGUUAAUUCCGAUAACGAACGAGACCCCAACCUGCUAACUAGCCCUCGGGUCCUGCUUCUGUUGGGCCCGACGGAAUGAUUCGCUUCUUAGAGGGACUCGCGGCGCCUAGCCGCACGAAGGGGGGCGAUAA